CCUCUCGACUCGUUCUCCUUUUGAGUCUUUGACCGCUACCGGUGUGAGUGGGAUGCCAAUUGAAGGGUGUGCAAAAUGAACCCAUCAGGCCGAGCGAUUUGGUCCGGUUUACUUUUGUCUAAUGGGUUUAAGGGUUAUCUAACAUUUUCGAAAACCAAACAUCUUCCAAUUUGGUUUGAGUUACAGCUUAAAAAAAAGGUCACGUCAGUAAAUAUGUAGUAGUACACAUAUAACGUGGGAAUUAAACUAUUUGGAUACGUACAUUUGAUGUUUAAGAUGCAUAAAUAAAUCUACAAUUUUUGUCAACCAACCAAAGUUGUUGACGGCAGACCCAAAAGAGGCCCCGCGGCACACUUGACUGCCAUGUGAAUUGUGAUCGGAGGCUGCUGCGGGGCGUAGCAAGAUGUUGCUGGUUGACGAUGGACGGUUCGGAUGUUGCGAUGGAGCGACUUCCGUGCUACUGCUACAGAUCGUCGAAGACGGUCGACGGAAAUGGAAGGGUGGUGGUGGAGGAGGUGGGAAGGGGAAUCCGCCGCCAUUUGACACUUCUCUCGUUACCCUCUCAAGAUCAUUCUACCCAACAAGGUCUAGUCCUCGUCGCCGCCACCGCCGCUGUCUUUACACUUCUUUACGCGGGCCAUUCCCCCUCCAUCCAUUUACUUUCAUCUCCACCGAUCGACGGCUGAUCUUCGAUCUCACUCUUGGUCAAAAUGCGAUGAUUUAGCCGUUUCCUUUUCUUUCCCCUUUUGAUAGCGAGAUGGAGCCUCGUCGGCGAUGGUGCAUCGUACGCUUCUACCAAGGUUUGAUUCAUUCAUCCUCAUUCCAUUUAUUUCAUCUUAUUAAUUCAGGUAGGGUGUGGCCAGUAGAUCAGGGGAAUAAAAAGGAAAAACUAAGGGAAGCAAAUCUUAAUCGAUUACACUUAUGGAAGCAUGGCAUAACAAAGGUGAGGUUUCUGCACUGUUAUCGUUUUCAGUCGAUUGUUCUUAGUGGUUAUUACAAAUGCAUUAGUCAAUCUUAGUCGAUUGUUCUUAUGUUUAUACUUAACCCUUGAUUCCAAUUUUCUGUUUUCCUUCCUCAUUCUCCUCUUCACUUAAUCUGCAUUUAAUCUAUUGCAAGACAGGCCUACAAGUCCGUAAUCGAAUCAUUCAGUGCAAAUUUUGCAGGUAAUUUAAUUCCAGAAACACGAAGCUGAUCACAGAAUUGAAUUUUGGUAUGGUUUCAUUGUUCAUGUUGAAAUUAAUGACUGGUACAUACCUUUUGUUGUUUAAGUAUGCUCCUACUUUAUCAACUGAAUUCAAUUAAUUCCUUCA